GAGUUUGAUCCUGGCUCAGGACGAACGCUGGCGGCGCGCCUAACACAUGCAAGUCGAACGAGCGAGAGAGAGCUUGCUUUCUCAAGCGAGUGGCGAACGGGUGAGUAACGCGUGAGGAACCUGCCUCAAAGAGGGGGACAACAGUUGGAAACGACUGCUAAUACCGCAUAAGCCCACGACCCGGCAUCGGGUAGAGGGAAAAGGAGCAAUCCGCUUUGAGAUGGCCUCGCGUCCGAUUAGCUAGUUGGUGAGGUAACGGCCCACCAAGGCGACGAUUGGUAGCCGGACUGAGAGGUUGAACGGCCACAUUGGGACUGAGACACGGUCCAGACUCCUACGGGAGGCAGCAGUGGGGAAUAUUGGGCAAUGGGCGCAAGCCUGACCCAGCAACGCCGCGUGAGGGAAGAAGGCUUUCGGGUUGUAAACCUCUGUCCUUGGUGACGAAGGAAGUGACGGUAGCCAAGGAGGAAGCCCCGGCUAACUACGUGCCAGCCGCCGCGGUAAUAC
rnacentral:rRNA from 1 species